rnacentral:rRNA from 1 species
UACGUAGGGGCGAAGCGUUGUCCGGAUUCAUUGGGCGUAAAGCGCGUGUAGGCGGCCAUACAGGUCCGUUGUGAAAACUCGAGGCUCAACCUCGAGACGUCGAUGGAAACCGUAUGGCUAGAGUCCGGAAGAGGAGAGUGGAAUUCCUGGUGUAGCGGUGAAAUGCGCAGAUAUCAGGAAGAACACCCGUGGCGAAGGCGGCUCUCUGGGACGGUACUGACGCUGAGACGCGAAAGCGUGGGGA